rnacentral:tRNA from 1 species
GCGGUCGUGGUGAAAUUGGUAGACACGCUAGAUUCAGGUUCUAGUGGCAGAAAUGUCGUGGAGGUUCAAGUCCUCUCGACCGCACCA